AUGUGGCAUUGUUGGGUCUUACAAGGUCAAGAAAAGGUCUUGCAAGGUCAAGAAGACCCAAACAACGCAGCAAGAAGAGGAGGAAACGAAGGGGGAGGAUGGUGGGUAGAAGAAAAGCUCAAUCAGGAUAACACCAUAUUUUUGCUAUGGGCGAAUCAGCGCCGACGGUGCUCCCCGUGGCCAGAAUCCUCUCGGUCUGAACUCUCCAUGUGUGUGCAACUCCUCCUGCCCGCGAGGCUCGGCUGCCUUGCAGUUGGUCCUGUCUAUCUGAUGAUGGGAGACAGAAUCAACAAAGAAGAGAAGGGUACUGUAAGUCAGGGGCAAAACAUGUGGAGAUUGCUUGGUGAUUAA
rnacentral:rRNA from 1 species